GUGUCAGCAGCCGCGGUAAUACGUAGGUGGCAAGCGUUGUCCGGAUUUACUGGGCGUAAAGGGUGUGUAGGCGGAUAUUUAAGUUAGAUGUGAAAUCCCCGGGCUUAACUUGGGGGCUGCAUUUCAAACUGGAUGUCUAGAGUGCAGGAGAGGAAAGCAGAAUUCCUAGUGUAGCGGUGAAAUGCGUAGAGAUGAGGAAGAAUACCAGUGGCGAAGGCGGGUUUCGGGACUGGAACUGACGGUGAGGC
rnacentral:rRNA from 1 species